CCUACGGGAGGCUGCAGUGGGGAAUAUUGGACAAUGGGGGGAACCCUGAUCCAGCCAUGCCGCGUGUGUGAAGAAGGCCCUCGGGUUGUAAAGCACUUUCAGUGAGGAAGAACGCCUGGUGGUUAAUACCCAUCAGGAAAGACAUCACUCACAGAAGAAGCAUCGGCUAACUCCGUGCCAGCAGCCGCGGUAAUACGGAGGGUGCGAGCGUUAAUCGGAAUUACUGGGCGUAAAGCGCGCGUAGGUGGCUUGAUAAGCCGGUUGUGAAAGCCCCGGGCUCAACCUGGGAACGGCAUCCGGAACUGUCAAGCUAGAGUGCAGGAGAGGAAGGUAGAAUUCCCGGUGUAGCGGUGAAAUGCGUAGAGAUCGGGAGGAAUACCAGUGGCGAAGGCGGCCUUCUGGACUGACACUGACACUGAGGUGCGAAAGCGUGGGUAGCAAACAGGAUUAGAUACCCUUGUAGUC
rnacentral:rRNA from 1 species